ensembl:lncRNA
GAAUCAUUAAGGGUAAAAAGAUCGAUAACGUCUUCUAGUCCAACUAUCAAGCCAUGUCUGUGACCUCCCUAGACCAUGUCACUCAGUGUGACAUCUACCCUUCCCUUGGACACCUCCAGGGACAGUGAUUCCACCACUCCCUGGGCAGCCUGUGCCAAUGCCUCAGCAAAGGUGAGGUGCACCCCUCUGGGUUGCUAUGGGAGUUGCUCACAUUUUGCAUCCAGUGUGAUGUUACGGUGCAGGCUGUGGCUCCUCAGCAGGUGCAUGGCUAUGGAGCAUGGCCAUGGCUCCUCAGCAGAUCCCCCUACCUCUCUGUGGUGCCUUCUCACUGGGAAGCAGAGCAGUCUGCUGUGGUUAACAGGAGGCACUGUGUUGGUAGCUCCUAUUUUAUUGCUUGUAGAUUUCCAUCCCUUUUCUGAAGCCACUUUGUCCUUGAGUCAUGUGUUCAUCAUCUCUCUGCUCACUGUCACCUCCAUCCUUUUCCCCAUCCCUUGUGCAGCUCAGGACUUUGGGGACUUCCCCAGGACAGCUCAGCAGGACACCCAGUGAAAGGCUCUCUCCUCCCAAGCUCAACUGUUGCUUUUCACAGAAUCGUAGAAUUAUUCAGGUUGGAAAAGACCUCCGAGAUCCCCAAGGCCAACCCCAGCCCACCCCCACCAUGCCCACUGCCCACGUCCCUCAGUGCCACAUCUCCACGGUUCUUGAACACCUCCAGGGAUGGUGACCCCACCACUCCCUGGGCAGCUGUGCCACUGCAUCACCACUCUCUUGGAGAAGACGAUUUUCCUAACCAAAGAAAUUUUUCUACUAAAACAAGCUGGGAUACCAGGCCCCAACCCCGCUCCCACUGAAUUCUCAGGGCUUUCAAAUAGCUUAUUUCACCACAGAGAAAAUGAAGCUGUCCAUGUUGAUAUGUACAAGAAACAGAGCGGCAGAGGAGAAGCUUUUGCCUGCAAGCUCACACACUCAGCCAAACACAAAAUGUUUUGGAGAAUGGUCCCAUAUUGGUAUCUGGAGAGCUGAUGCUGUCAUCCGCCGCAGGGCCGAACCGGCCUCCUGGCCUCCAUCACACAGCCUCACGCAGAGAGCUCAGGCACUGCAUAAAGGCCUGGGAUGGUGUUACAAGGGGACAUGAAGCCUCACGGGGUCUCUGAUGAGUGACAGAUGUUCUUGGCUCCUGAAAGCAGUCAGAAAAGGCAGAGGGCACUAUCAUAGCCAGGCCUGGCAGUCCUCUGCGGCCUGUCAGCCAUUUUAUAACACAGGGUUGCUCAUGUCCUCACGCUUUAAUUGCUGUUUAGCAAAGAGGCGUUUGGGAGGAGUUUCCCCAGCAGAAAAGAUUAGAGAGGGCCACCAGAAGGAGAGAUAAUAAUCGAUGAGAUUGACUUUCUCUGGUCAGGGGUGUUGGCUAACUCCUGGAAACGCCAUUUUCCUCAUUCCCCUCCUAUGAGGCUGCAGAAGCACGGCCUGAUUUCU